AGACCAAGUCCACAGUUUGUUGGAGACCCAAUCAGCUACAAUGGACGCGUCUACUUCUUUUACCGUGAGGUUGCUGCUGAGUUUGUCGAAGGGAGAGCCGUGUAUUCAAGAGUUGCAGUCGUAUGCGAGAAUGAUAAAGGGGGGCGAGCAUUCCAGGACUUUGGACUCAACGACAUCGUAACCUUUGUCAAGGCGCGGCUGGAAUGCUCAACGGGUACAACGUUUCCAUAUUUCUACAACGAAAUACGAGACAUUUACUACUCCAACGGCAUAGUAUUUGCAGUUUUUGCUACACGGCCGUCUAAAGUGGCAAGUUCCGCAGUCUGUGCCUACCGUUUGGAUGAAAUCGAGGCUCUGUUUCUCAAUACGAGUAAAUUCAGGGCGCAGUUUAGUGAUGGCGAACUCUGGAGGGAAGUGGACCCAGAUCCUGUGACUCCAAUACCAGUUCAGGUUGAACUCAGAUAAGAGUAUUAUUCAUAUCCAAAUAAGCUGGACAGUAUUAACCUAAAUGAAUAUAGCGUGUGAUCCACAUUAUUAUUAUAUUAUUUAUUCAUGCCAUUUCUUUAUCAUCACAUACAAGAUGGCAAAGGAGAUGCAACAGCAAAAACAAUCACCGUGGCCAAAGACCUGCAAUUCCUUAUCAAAUAACGGCAGCAAAAGGAGUAGUCCCAUGGGC